rnacentral:rRNA from 1 species
AAGCCUACGGGAGGCAGCAGUGAGGAAUAUUGGUCAAUGGGCGGAAGCCUGAACCAGCCAAGUCGCGUGAGGGAAUAAGGCCCUACGGGUCGUAAACCUCUUUUGCCGGGGAGCAAGGGCGGGGACGUGUCCCGGCCCGGAGAGUACCCGGAGAAAAAGCAUCGGCUAACUCCGUGCCAGCAGCCGCGGUAAUACGGAGGAUGCGAGCGUUAUCCGGAUUUAUCGGGUUUAAAGGGUGCGUAGGCGGGCUCUUACGUCAGCGGUAAAAAUUCGGGGCUCAACCCCGGCCGGCCGU